rnacentral:rRNA from 1 species
UACGUAGGGUGCAAGCGUUGUCCGGAAUUAUUGGGCGUAAAGAGCUCGUAGGCGGUUUGUCGCGUCUGCUGUGAAAACGCGAGGCUCAACCUCGCGCCUGCAGUGGGUACGGGCAGACUAGAGUGCGGUAGGGGAGAUUGGAAUUCCUGGUGUAGCGGUGGAAUGCGCAGAUAUCAGGAGGAACACCGAUGGCGAAGGCAGAUCUCUGGGACGUAACUGACGCUGAGGAGCGAAAGCGUGGGGAGCGAACAGG